rnacentral:lncRNA from 1 species
CACAUAGAAAACAAGUUUUUUAAUCAAUAAAAGGUAUUUCAUUAAGAAUGAAAAAGGUUACAACCACCCCUCACAAGGGGAGUGAAUCUAGCAAGACACUAAAUUACUCACCCACAAAGAGGUGGCCACAAAAACAUGUACAAGAAACUACCCCGAGCAAUAGAAACAUCUCUAUGCCCUAACAAUAUCUUACCACCCACACAUAAUGUCUUGAUAUUGAACCACCUUAAAAGUAAUAGACUCCCUAGAUCGAUCAUAGAGACAUUCCUUCACUUCCAUGAGAAGUUGCUUUCAUUCUCAAAGACUCUCCUAUUCUGUUCUUUCCAAAUGGUCCGCACCAAAGCCUUCAGAAGAUUAUUUACAAGCCAAGACACUGUGGUUAGAAGUGGGGACCCAUAAGCCUUCUUCCAAUGCCACCCAAAUAUUCACCAGAGCCACACACAUCAAAAGGUAUAAAAAAACUCUGGCCAAAGCCUUCUAGCCAAUUAGCAAUUAACAAGAAGAUGAUCUACUCUCUCUUCUUCCACAUUGCACAUAGGAGUAUAGGACAAGAUAUUUGCACAUCUGCGGCUCCUCAAACCAAGUUGUCUUUUUUUUUGAAUCCUAGUAGGUCUCCCAAGUGAAAAAGCAACUCGGAAGGCCAAAUCCUCUUCCAUGAAAAAUUAGGAAUUAUGUAUUACGCUCCUAGCAUACUCUCAUUGCAUUCCAUGGCAUGAGCCUCCAAGUAAGACUUCACUGUGAAUUAGCACAUGCCCAUAUUUGUUUACAAUAUCAAUAAAAAAUACCAUCUAGAACAUGGCAACUCAGCACAAUUUGGGGCCUAAAGUGAAGACUAACUAGUAACUAACAAGUAUAACAAUCUUAACUUGGGUUUCUUAGCAUUUAUGGACAAAAUUUAAGCUACCAUUUUAAUUAAAAAAUGAUUGAUUUUAAAUUUUAAUACAGAGCAAUGGAUUCAGAUAGAAAAUAAAAAAAAUAAAAAAAAUAAAAAAAGACACAAGUUUAAAGUGAAUUACCUCUUUGGCUGAGGUUAGUUUCGGGAAUUUUUUACAAUUGAGAGAAGAAGAUACUCUUCUUCUUCUUUGAUGGUGGAGAGUUUGAAGGAGAGAAACGGGUGAUAAAGAAGAAGAAGAAGAAGAUAAAGCUUCCAUGAUGAUGAUGAUUUCAAUGGGGGGAAGUUGGGUGGACUUAAAAUUAGACACCCAAGUCCCAAGAUAGGGUGGGUAUGCUUUUG